rnacentral:rRNA from 1 species
GCGAGGCGUCCCGCAAGGGAUAGUCGAGUGGCGAACGGGUGAGUAACGCGUGGAUGACCUGCCCUGAGGUGUGGAACAACCAGUGGAAACUCUGGCUAAUACCGCAUGAUAUCGAGAGAUCAAAGGGGGCUCGCAAGGGCUCUCGCCACAGGAGGGGUCCGCGUCCGAUUAGCUAGUUGGUAGGGUAAUGGCCUACCAAGGCGACGAUCGGUAGCCGGCCUGAGAGGGUGAUCGGCCACACUGGAACGGAGACACGGUCCAGACUCCUACGGGAGGCAGCAGUGGGGAAUUUUGCGCAAUGGGCUAACGCCUGACGCAGCAACGCCGCGUGGAGGAUGAAGGUCUUUGGAUUGUAAACUCCUGUCAGCGGGGAAAAAGCGACUCGUGCUCAUACCACGGGGAGUUGAUUGUACCCGCAGAGGAAGCCCCGGCUAACUCUGUGCCAGCAGCCGCGGUAAUACAGAGGGGGCAAGCGUUAUUCGGAAUUAUUGGGCGUAAAGGGCGCGUAGGCGGCUUGGCAAGUGGAAGGUGAAAUCCCUCGGCUUAACCGAGGAACUGCCCUCCAAACUGCUUUGCUUGAGGCCGGGAGAGGCGAGUGGAAUUCCCAGUGUAGCGGUGAAAUGCGUAGAUAUUGGGAGGAACACCAGUGGCGAAAGCGGCUCGCUGGACCGGUUCUGACGCUGAGGCGCGAAAGCGUGGGGAGCAAACGGGAUUA